CAGUUCUGUGUGGAUGCUACGCUCGAGCUAGAGCUGGAUUUACUUAGAAAACAAACCAUAGAAGAGGUAUUUUGACACAAAAGUUAACUGCAGACAUUACGGAAGUAGACAAGAAUCAUCAGACAUCUUGGAACCACGUAGAAAUCGAUAUUCCGGCUGUUUUUUUUUUUGAGGACUCUCUUCAGUGGGACUCUGAUCUCCAUCCAUCUGCCACUGUGUGUUGAUGUCCAUCCACGUCCACAUCUCCAUCACGCUGGGAUCGGCCAUCACCUCGGACCGUCUCGUUGGACAUUCAUUAUAAGGGGGAGGUUUCCCAGAGACUAUGGGUUGAGGAGGAAUUGGAAGUUUGUCGGCUUAGACCUGGUGUCAUUCCAUCAGUGUUAAACUUCCCGGCUCAUCUUGGAAGAGUACGUGCCAGAAAGACCACGACCAAGCAGCCUUGAGAUCUUAGGCAGCGUCUCCCUGAGGUCCCUCUCUAUCUCCCCACACAUCCACCAACCACUGGAACACAUCUCCAAAGUUCUGCCGGACCAGCUCAGCUUCCCCUCAGAAGAAGUGCUGCCACCUGCCAGAAGAAGGAGCCUUUUGAGAGGCAGCUGGCAUCGUGAUUGGACUGUACUUUGGUCUGUUCCAAUCCAGCUUCAGCUCCAGAGACGGCAGGCGGGACGAGUCAACGGAGGCCGGGUGGACGAAGGCAUGCAGCUGAGUACAAUCCAGAAAACAACAGAGGAGGAGAGCAGCAGCCCAGAGCCAGAACAAACAGAGUAGCAUCGUAUGUCUCUUAGAAAACAUCAUAGUAUAGCCUUUGGUAUGAAAAAACGCCAUCAUAUACAUCGUAUAUUGUACAAAUAACAAGUCAAAGCAAAGAGACAUACAAUGUAGAAUUGUAGUAAUUGUGGGCUGACUGAUUUACUGAUUAUCAGUAUUUUAUUUUUUUACUGAUUUAUGGUAAUAAAUACAUUUAAAAAUGG